rnacentral:rRNA from 1 species
UAACAGCUCACUGGUCAAGCGUUCCUGCGGCGAAGAUGUAACGGGGCUCAAACCAUGCACCGAAGCUUAGGGUUUACAGCAAUGUAAGCGGUAGCGGAGCGUUCCGUAAGCCAGUGAAGGGAGACCCGUGAGGGCUCCUGGAGGUAUCGGAAGUGCGAAUGAUGACAUGAGUAGCGAUAAAGAGGGUGAGAGACCCUCUCGCCGUAAGUCCAAGGGUUCCUGCGCAAUGCUAAUCAGCGCAGGGUUAGCGGCCCCUAAGUCGAGGCAGAUAUGCGUAGACGAUGGGAACCACGUUAAUAUUCGUGGGCCUGGUGGUAGUGACGGAUCGCGCGGGUUCGUAUCCCCUUAUCGGAUUGGGGGUGCGAUGAGCCGGUUCCAGGAAAUAGCUCCACCAACAUAGACCGUACCCUAAACCGACACAGGUGGACAGGUAGAGCAUACCAAGGCGCUUGAGAGAACUAUGCUGAAGGAACUCGGCAAAUUGCACGCGUAACUUCGGGAUAAGCGUGACUGCUAGUUGGGCAACCAGCUAGUAGUGGCACAAAAAAGGGGGUAGCGACUGUUUAUCAAAAACACAGGGCUCUGCGAAGUUGCAAAACGACGUAUAGGGUCUGACGCCUGCCCGGUGCCGGAAGGUUAAAUGGAGGGGUGCAAGCUCUGAAAUGAAGCCCCGGUAAACGGCGGCCGUAACAAUAACGGUCCUAAGGUAGCGAAAUUCCUUGUCGGGUAAGUUCCGACCUGCACGAGGGCGUAACGACUUCCCCACUGUCUCCAGCAUAGACUCAGCGAAAUUGAAUUCCCCGUGAAGAUGCGGGGUUCCUGCGGUCAGACGGAAAGACCCCAUGAACCUUUACUAUAGCUUUGCGCCGGCACUUGUGUCGGCAUGUGCAGGAUAGGUGGUAGGCUUUGAAGCCGGGACGCUAGUUCUGGUGGAGCCGCAAGAUGAGAUACACCCUUAUCGUCAUAGGUGUCUAACCGCGGUGUAACAGCAUCCGGGACAGCGCAUGGUGGGUAGUUUGACUGGGGCGGUCGCCUCCCAAAGAGUAACGGAGGCGCGCGAUGGUGGGCUCAGACCGGUCGGAAAUCGGUCGUCGAGUGCAAUGGCAUAAGCCUGCCUGACUGCGAGACUGACAAGUCGAGCAGAGUCGAAAGACGGUCAUAGUGAUCCGGUGGUCCCGCGUGGAAGGGCCAUCGCUCAACGAAUAAAAGGUACUCUGGGGAUAACAGGCUGAUACUGCCCAAGAGUCCAUAUCGACGGCAGUGUUUGGCACCUCGAUGUCGGCUCAUCACAUCCUGGGGCUGGAGCAGGUCCCAAGGGUAUGGCUGUUCGCCAUUUAAAGUGGUACGUGAGCUGGGUUCAGAACGUCGUGAGACAGUUCGGUCCCUAUCUGCCGUGGGUGUAGGAAUAUUGAGAAGAGCUGACCCUAGUACGAGAGGACCGGGUUGGACGAAUCUCUGGUGGACCUGUUGUGGCGCCAGCCGCAGUGCAGGGUAGCUAUAUUCGGACGGGAUAACUGCUGAAAGCAUCUAAGCAGGAAGCCUCCUUCAAAACUAGUAUUCCCUUGAGAGCCGUGGAAGACCACCACGUUGAUAGGCUGGAUGUGGAAGCGCCGCGAGGUGUGAAGCUGACCAGUACUAAUAGCUCU